rnacentral:rRNA from 1 species
GUGGCGAACGGGUGAGUAACACGUGGGCAAUCUGCCCUUCACUCUGGGACAAGCCCUGGAAACGGGGUCUAAUACCGGAUAACACUCUGUCCCGCAUGGGACGGGGUUAAAAGCUCCGGCGGUGAAGGAUGAGCCCGCGGCCUAUCAGCUUGUUGGUGGGGUAAUGGCCUACCAAGGCGACGACGGGUAGCCGGCCUGAGAGGGCGACCGGCCACACUGGGACUGAGACACGGCCCAGACUCCUACGGGAGGCAGCAGUGGGGAAUAUUGCACAAUGGGCGAAAGCCUGAUGCAGCGACGCCGCGUGAGGGAUGACGGCCUUCGGGUUGUAAACCUCUUUCAGCAGGGAAGAAGCGAAAGUGACGGUACCUGCAGAAGAAGCACCGGCUAACUACGUGCCAGCAGCCGCGGUAAUACGUAGGGUGCGAGCGUUGUCCGGAAUUAUUGGGCGUAAAGAGCUCGUAGGCGGCUUGUCACGUCGGAUGUGAAAGCUCGGGGCUUAACCCCGAGUCUGCAUUCGAUACGGGCUAGCUAGAGUGUGGUAGGGGAGAUCGGAAUUCCUGGUGUAGCGGUGAAAUGCGCAGAUAUCAGGAGGAACACCGGUGGCGAAGGCGGAUCUCUGGGCCAUUACUGACGCUGAGGAGCGAAAGCGUGGGGAGCGAACAGGAUUAGAUACCCUGGUAGUCCACGCCGUAAACGUUGGGAACUAGGUGUUGGCGACAUUCCACGUCGUCGGUGCCGCAGCUAACGCAUUAAGUUCCCCGCCUGGGGAGUACGGCCGCAAGGCUAAAACUCAAAGGAAUUGACGGG